AUUUCCCCUCCGGGUCCAUGAUUUAGUCCAGCGCCCUCGGACGGGUCAGGGGGCCUUGACGUCACCCCCCAAGGGCUGGCCAAUCUGCGCCGCGAGCCAGGACUUUUAACAACCGCGGGGAUGACCCCAGGGUCCGGGGAAGCAGAGAAGGGGGAGUCCCAGCGUGGCCAGCUCCGGCCCCAGAGAGCCUCCGCUACAUCCCGGCAGGUCCGACGCUCCGGGCGACACGCAGCAAGGGCUAGCCGAGAGGGAGGAGUCCCCUGAACACACUCGAGAUUUGCUGAAUGAUUUGAAGUCUGGAUGAACCUGGAAAACUGAUAACAGGACCCUCACCACAUUUAUCAAUAUGUCGAUGGCACAGUUUUAUGACAGUGGACAUCAACAGCCCCAAGGAUCACAAUAUCACUGCUUCACAUAGUCUAUUAAAUGCCUAUGUUUGCUGCGAGAGUGCAUCUAUGAAGUUUUAUUGCAUUUAGCUAAACAGAAGACAGUAUUGGUGAUGAGAAGGUCAUGAGAUGCACAAGUCUUCAGUAGUAAGUGACCAUUGCUGUUGCUGUUUCCAACUCCAUUUCUCCCUAGGACUCGCUGCCAAGUCUGAUAGUCUGAGCCUACUCUAACAUUAAAGUCUCCCAGAAUUA